UGGGAACACUAGACAGUGCCUCAGCACUAGGCUUGGGGGCCUUAUUAUAAACAGUGAAAUCACCCAAAGAAAGCACAGCAAUGCGAAGAAUGUGGCAGUAACUAGAGAGCAAAAAGGACGCUUUAUUUAAAGAAAAUAAAAUGUCCAGUAUCAAAUAAAUAAGGGUCAUGUGAUUCCCAAGUAAACUGACCAGAAUGCUCAUCAAAUUCGAAGAAGCGGAGUCAGAUCGUUUCCAAAGGACGAAAGCUGCUCCCCUUCGAAGUCAGUGACCUGUGGAAUGUGGCGAUCUUGUCUUGUACUUAAUAUGUGAUGGCUCGUGGCCGAUCCUGUUGUGUGCUGGGAAUACUGGAACAUCAAGCUAGAAAGCACUGGAUGCCCUGAUCAUGGUGGAGUCAUCACUCCAGUCGUGGAUAGCUACAUUCACGUGAGAGGUGUCCCUCACAUGUCAGCUGAGACCCAGGAAGCAGCCUGGGAUCCCUCAGCCAUCCUCACCCAGGGCUUUCUGGAGGUGCGCAGUCUUCAGAGAUAUUGAAGGUGUUGCACAGUAGAUGAUGCAAUUUCACAGCCAGCCCUUGCCAAGCUGAUUUCCAAUCCAGGGAGCAGGAAUAGUCAUGCAGAAGAGUGGUGAGGAGCUUUGACUUGACCCAGACCCGAUUGGGAUACUGGUUCUGCCACCAACUAACUGUGUGGACUAGGAAAUGGAGUAGUAAGUGGUGAAGAGUGUGGACUCUGCAGCCAAACUGCCUUGGUUUCAAUUCGGCCUCUGCUACUUCUUUACUGUGUAGCUUUGGGCAUGUCAUUUUGCCUCUCUGUGCCUCAUUCGUUUUGUCUGUAAAAUGGGAACUUCUGUGUGCCUACCUCGUAGUGUUGUUGUGAGAGACACACGCAAAUGCGUUGUAAAGUAUCUCAUGGCAUAUCGUAAGUACUAAACUAUAAUUUACUUUUUUAAGUGGCAUUAGUGAGAUACUAGUUAAACACUAUAAUGAGGCAGGUCCAGAUUGCAAUCUCAACUUUGCUACUCACCAGUUAGUUGAACUCGGAUCUCUGCUCACCGUGCCAGCCUGUUCUGUCUCUGUCUUCCUUUGACUUUCUAUGCUUUGACUGCACUGAUCUUUUUUCAAUUUCUCCAGCUCUCUUCAUAGUCCAUAUAUAAUAUUUCUUCCGGUGGGAAUGUUCUUUAUUACCAUUACAGUUGUCCCCGCUUAUCCACACGGGAUCCGUUCCAAGACCCCCAGUGGAUGCCUGAAACCACAGACAGUACUGAACCCCAGACGUACUAUCUGUUUUCCUGCACAUACAUACCUAUGAUAAAGUUUAAUUUAUAAAUUAGGCACAGUAAGAGAUUAACAACAAUAACUUCUCUUUGGCAUAUCUGAAUGGUCAGUAUCACUAUUCUUGUGCUUAGGGGUCAUUAUUAAGUAAAAUGAGUUACUUGUGCGUAAGCACGGCGAUACCACCACAGUUGGUCUGAUAACCAAGGUGCUGCUGCUUAGUAACUAAGGGGUGGGUAGCACAUACACAGUGAAUCCGCUGGGCAAAGGGAUGAUUCACGGCCAGGAUGGGAUAGAGGGGGACAGCGAGAUUUCAUCACACUACUCAGAAUGGCACACAAUUGAAAACUUAUGAAUUGUUUAUUUCUGGAGUUUUCCACUUAAUAUUUUUGGACUGUGGUUGACCACAGGUGCCUGAAACCGUGGAAAGUGAGAUUACGGCUAAGGGGGUGCUACUGGAUUAUCAAAAGUCUCCUCCAUGGGAAGUCUAUUUCUGUCCUUCCAGACCAGGUUCAGCUCCUGGGAAACCUCUCGGAGCCCUCUCCUCCAGAGGACCUGUCCUAACUGGGGUGAAAGGUUCACCUGUGCAAUUCCUCCUAACUUUGCCGAGAGACUGUGAGCUCUGAGAAGGGGAGCAGAGCCGGUGUCUGCCAGUCCAAUAUCUAUCCUAGUGUUUGGCUCAGAGUCAGCACUCCAGCAACAUCUGCUGAAUGAAUCCACAAGUAAAUAAAAUGAGUGUGAGAAGAAUUCCCUUUUCUGCUCAUUUUAUAAACCCUGAGCUCCCCGAAGGCAUGCCGUAUUUCAUUUAUCUUUGUAUCCCAAGAGCCUAACACAGUGCUGACAGUUCGUAGGAACUCAAAAUAUUUGUCACGAGAUUGAGUAAAUUGUAUGAUAAUGAUUUCAAUCUAGGUCACUAAAAUGCAGCGGUCUGAUUUGAAAAUACAUCCCACGAUCUCUUUAGAGAGGCUUUCUUUGACUAUAAUCUUAUCUAUAUGAAUAUUUUCUUCGUUUCUCUCUCGAUUAAGAAAGCAUUUAUUUACUUGUGAUGGAAAAUUCCUCUCUUCUUGUGUUAGGGGUAUCUCACUACAAAGAAUAAGACUAAGGCUGUCAGGACAGUGACUCUGAAAGCUUUUGGGUUCAGAAUCCCUUUAUAUGCUUAAAAAUUGUUGAGGAUCUUAAGAAGCUUUUGUUUAUGUGGGUUAUAUCUAACAUAUUAGAAAAUAAAACUGAAGAAUAUUUAAAAUA